AGAGAUAUAGCUUAAAGGUGCUUGGGAGAUGCUAUGGGAGGGGUGGUCUUAUGUGUUCGGGGACGAGGAGUUCUCCACGGGACCCGAUUGCGCUUGGGAUCACUUACCUACUUGUUGCGGCUUAGCCGGCUUGUGACUUGAUAGUUCACCAUCAUGUUCGCCUUCCGCUGCCAAGGUAGUGGUGUGUUCUUUGGUCCAGAGAGAUCGUUCUGUAUUGCCAUUGACGGUGAUGACUCCUAGGAGUUCGGGCAUAUUCAGCUUGAGAUAAGAGUAGUGGGGCACCACGUUGAAUCGGCCGAAGGCGAUGCUGCCGAGCAGUGCGUGGUACCCGCUGCAAAAGGGGACGAUGUCGAAGAUCAAGUAUUUGCCACGGAAUUUAUCGGGUUAUCCGAACACGACUUCCAGCGUUAUGGUUCCCGAGCAGCGAGCCCUCACAUCUAGAAUAACUCCUUUAAAGGUAGUGUUGCUUGGUUCUAUUCUUGAUGGGUCAAUGCCAAUCUUUUUCACCAUAUCUGCGUAAAUCGGAUUAAGCCUACUUCCAUCAUCCAUGAGGACUCUCGUGAGGUGGUACCCAUCUAUAAUGGGGUCGAGGACGACAGCGGCCGACCCUCCAUGAUGGAUGCUGGUCGGAUGGUCCCUGCGGUCGAAUGUGAUCGGACAAGCCGACCAUGUGUUUUAGAAUGGUGCUACAGGAUCUACGGCAUAGACUUCUGGGAGGGCUUGCUUCCGCUCCUUCUUGGGUAUGUCAGUCACAUAAAUCAUGUUUACUGUUUUUACU
rnacentral:lncRNA from 1 species